AUGCUGUCUACCAGCACCUUGGCUGGCCUAUGUGUUUCAGAUGCCACAGCCAGCCUGGUGGAGCAAAGGCCCAGGUGGGCCCUGGUGCAGGCUGGACAGGAAGAGACUCUCCGUUGCAUCCUGAGGAAUUCUCAGUACCCCUGGAUGAGCUGGUACCAACAAGAUCUCCAGCAGCAACUGCAGUUUCUGGUCACCCUGUGGACUCCUGGGGACGAGAAGACCAUCUCCCUUCCUGGGGCAGAUUACCUGGCCACUCGGGUCAGUGACACAGAGCUGAGGCUUCGGGCGGCCAAUGUGACCUAG